rnacentral:rRNA from 1 species
AGGAUGAACGCUGGCGGCGUGCCUAACACAUGCAAGUCGAGCGAUCUUCUUUCGGAAGAGAGCCGGCGGACGGGUGAGUAACGCGUGGGUAACCUGCCCUGUACACACGGAUAACAUACCGAAAGGUAUGCUAAUACGGGAUAACAUAUGAAAGUCACAUGACUUUCAUAUCAAAGCUUUUGCGGUACAGGAUGGACCCGCGUCUGAUUAGCUAGUUGGUAAGGUAACGACUUACCAAGGCGACGAUCAGUAGCCGACCUGAGAGGGUGAUCGGCCACACUGGAACUGAGACACGGUCCAGACUCCUACGGGAGGCAGCAGUGGGGAAUAUUGCACAAUGGGCGAAAGCCUGAUGCAGCAACGCCGCGUGAGCGAUGAAGGCCUUCGGGUCGUAAAGCUCUGUCCUCAAGGAAGAUAAUGACGGUACUUGAGGAGGAAGCCCCGGCUAACUACGUGCCAGCAGCCGCGGUAAUACGUAGGGGGCUAGCGUUAUCCGGAAUUACUGGGCGUAAAGGGUGCGUAGGCGGUCUUUCAAGCCAGAAGUGAAAGGCUACGGCUCAACCGUAGUAAGCUUUUGGAACUGUAGGACUUGAGUGCAGGAGAGGAGAGUAGAAUUCCUAGUGUAGCGGUGAAAUGCGUAGAUAUUAGGAGGAAUACCAGUAGCGAAGGCGGCUCUCUGGACUGUAACUGACGCUGAGGCACGAAAGCGUGGGGAGCGAACAGGAUUAGAUACCCUGGUAGUCCACGCCGUAAACGAUGAGUACUAGGUGUCGGGGGUUACCCCCCUCGGUGCCGCAGCUAACGCAUUAAGUACUCCGCCUGGGAAGUACGCUCGCAAGAGUGAA